ACAUCCAGCGAACUUGGCAGAGAUGCCUUGGUGCCUUCGGAACGCUGAGACAGGUGCUGCAUGGCUGUCGUCAGCUCGUGUUGUGAAAUGUUGGGUUAAGUCCCGNAACGAGCGCAACCCUUAUCCUUUGUUGCCAGCGAUUCGGUCGGGAACUCAAAGGAGACUGCCGGUGAUAAACCGGAGGAAGGUGGGGAUGACGUCAAGUCAUCAUGGCCCUUACGAGUAGGGCUACACACGUGCUACAAUGGCGCAUACAAAGAGAAGCGACCUCGCGAGAGCAAGCGGACCUCAUAAAGUGCGUCGUAGUCCGGAUCGGAGUCUGCAACUCGACUCCGUGAAGUCGGAAUCGCUAGUAAUCGUGGAUCAGAAUGCCACGGUGAAUACGUUCCCGGGCCUUGUACACACCGCCCGUCACACCAUGGGAGUGGGUUGCAAAAGAAGUAGGUAGCUUAACCUUCGGGAGGGCGCUUACCACUUUGUGAUUCAUGACUGGGGUGAAGUCGUAACAAGGUAGGCGUAGCGAG
rnacentral:rRNA from 1 species